GACGUAGGGGGCCAGCGUUGUUCGGAAUUACUGGGUGUAAAGGGUUCGUAGGCGGUGUGGCAAGUCGGGAGUGAAAUCUCUGGGCUCAACCCAGAGUCUGCUUCCGAAACUGCUGUGCUUGAGUGUGGGAGAGGCGCGUGGAAUUGCAGGUGUAGCGGUGAAAUGCGUAGAUAUCGAAGUGGAACACCCGUGGCGAAAGGCGGAGCCCUGGACAACUCUGACACUGAGGCACGAAAGCUAGGGGAGCAAACAGG
rnacentral:rRNA from 1 species